GUGGGGAAUCUUAGACAAUGGGGGCAACCCUGAUCUAGCCAUGCCGCGUGAGUGAUGAAGGCCUUAGGGUUGUAAAGCUCUUUCAGUGGGGAAGAUAAUGACGGUACCCACAGAAGAAGCCCCGGCUAACUCCGUGCCAGCAGCCGCGGUAAUACGGAGGGGGCUAGCGUUGUUCGGAAUUACUGGGCGUAAAGUGCACGUAGGCGGAUCGGAAAGUUGGGGGUGAAAUCCCAGGGCUCAACCCUGGAACUGCCUUCAAAACUAUCGGUCUGGAGUCCGAGAGAGGUGAGUGGAAUUCCGAGUGUAGAGGUGAAAUUCGUAGAUAUUCGGAGGAACACCAGUGGCGAAGGCGGCUCACUGGCUCGGUACUGACGCUGAGGUGCGAAAGCGUGGGGAGCAAACAGGAUUAGAAACCCCUGUAGUCC
rnacentral:rRNA from 1 species